UACGAAGGGAGCUAGCGUUGUUCGGAAUCACUGGGCGUAAAGCGCACGUAGGCGGAUGUGUCAGUCAGGGGUGAAAUCCCGGAGCUCAACUUCGGAACUGCCUUUGAUACAGCACGUCUUGAGUCCGGAAGAGGUGGGUGGAAUUCCUAGUGUAGAGGUGAAAUUCGUAGAUAUUAGGAAGAACACCGGUGGCGAAGGCGGCCCACUGGUCCGGUACCUGACGCUGAGACGCCGAAAGCG
rnacentral:rRNA from 1 species